UCCGGUUUGUCACCGGCAGUCACCUUAGAGUGCCCAACUGAAUGCUGGCAACUAAGAUUAAGGGUUGCGCUCGUUGCGGGACUUAACCCAACAUCUCACGACACGAGCUGACGACAACCAUGCACCACCUGUCUCCAUUGCCUCGAAAGGAAGCCAUAUCUCUACAGCGGUCAAUGGGAUGUCAAGACCUGGUAAGGUUCUUCGCGUUGCUUCGAAUUAAACCACAUGCUCCACUGCUUGUGCGGGCCCCCGUCAAUUCCUUUGAGUUUCAGUCUUGCGACCGUACUCCCCAGGCGGAGUGCUUAUUGCGUUAGCUGCGGCACUAAGGGCAUCGAAGCCCCUAACACCUAGCACUCAUCGUUUACGGCGUGGACUAC
rnacentral:misc_RNA from 1 species